AGUGUUCUGUACUCCCUCCCUGCCUCCCUCCCUGCCACUAGCUGGCUCCUCCAGUCCGCUGCCGGUACCGUGCAGGUCUACGCGGUCGCUGAAGCAGCAGCUCGACGCGGCGCGGCUGGCCCUCUCAUCCUCACUCCCCCUGCCGGCGGAAGAGAGAGGCUUGCGGCACCGGGCGGAGGAGGAGACGAGCUCGACGUCGGUCGCUGGUGCCGUGGACUGGGGUGGAGACAGAGGAAGAGGUGUUGGUGGUCGGUACCUUCCAGAGAAGAAGCAGUUCUGGUGGCACACGUAGAAGGGCCGUGCGGCGAGUUACACGUAGAAGUGCCGCGCGGCGACGAGACUGCGGUACCUCGCGGGGGUUAGAGGGAGAGAGAGUACGAGACCGACAGUUCCGGCAGGUCGGCAAAAGUUCCCCAAAACAAAUCCUGUCGGUGCUUCGUGUUUCUUGUUUGUACGAUAAAUUCGUUCUCCCAAAAGCACCCCAAAAACAAAUCCUGUCGGUACCUCGUCUUUGUUGUUUGUACAAUGAAGUCGUUCUCCCUCUCAUUACUAGGACUACUAUGAGAAUGGUAAAACAAUGGUUUUACACACAGGACAGUCACGAACGACCUACGACGGAUCAGGAUGACCCAUGAUAUCGAUUAAGAAACGCAUAGAAGUGUUGAAAGUUCUCGAGAAAUCAGGACGUUUUUGUUCCAAAACUACAGAGGGAAUGUGUUUUAUAAGUAUAACCAGGACGUACUACGCACACGCGUACUACCUACCAGUGCAUGAUGACAUGAACGAUCCAUUAUUCGAACAAAACGAUGACUAACUUACCGCAGAGUCAAACAUGGAGUGGCUCGAGCGGCGGAUUUUAACGAUGCCCUAUCCGUGACAAACCAACGUGAUCUGGACGCCUCCCCAAAUAGACCAAGAAUACCAGACGACGUACGGACCUCCACAGAGACCGUGUCGACACGGAGAACUCCGCUGGAGGAGAUGGCGCCACCAACACACGCCGUAGUCGAUGUUGGAGAGGCCAUGGUUUAACCGUAGGCAAUACGACCGUAACGUGCGUACCGCAACCGGGAGAGGAACUUCAAGUCACGACAUGGUUAGCAGCACGGUCAGACCCAAACUCUAAGACUAUAGCUACACCUCGACACCCAAUUUGAUUCCAAAUAAACCUGUCUUGGCACGCACCCCCUCGGCACAGAACCGUAAACACAGUGAAGGCUUCUAUUUCAAUCUCGACAGCGACAAGGCCGAAAAAAUACCGUUAAGGAGAAGACAGUUAUAAAGAGUGCUUUGAAGAUUGCCUUCUAGACCGGCGCAGAGAGACAGGCCGGGUUUUUCUAACAGGAAACCGCCGAGGAGAACCAGCGGAGGGCACGAAUUUGCGUGCCUAGGCGGAGGACCUACCACGAGGACGCGGACCACUAGUACCCCACGUACGCGGAGGAAACCACCGAAGGAGGUAGCGCACUGACACCGCCAACACGUCCCGUAGUCGGUGUUUGAUUAGACCAAGGUACAGUACCUUACCUACCUACUACCACUCGCUGGUGGUUACCUAGACCGGCUUAUGUUAUGCGGAACGGCCAGAUCUCUCAGGAACCUCUAGAACGCUCCUCCACCGGGUUAACCAACUUCCGUCCCCCCUUGAGCGAACUGCACAGAGUCGUUAGUUGUCUAUCUUGAACACGACAGAUGUGUCCAACUUUAUGUUCCUCCGGAUCCGGUCGCUUAGAACUUCUAUUGUCUAUCCGCAAAAGCACAAAAAGAAAAGGCAGCCCCUCAACACUUUUUAACCUACCUUACCACUAUAUACAACUUUCCAGAGCAGAGUCCCUCCCUAACGAUGACGAUGUAUGUAUCACAACAUUUUAAACCUAACAAAAAAACCAGUCACGUACAGUUCUCUAACCUGACCAACUUACUUAGUUUACCAAUUGAGAGGUACUUACUCCCUUACGUACUUACGGUCGAGCAAGUAAGUAAAUGGC
rnacentral:rRNA from 1 species